rnacentral:rRNA from 1 species
GACGUAGGGCGCGAGCGUUGUCCGGAUUUAUUGAGCGUAAAGAGCUCGUAGGCGGCUUGUCGCGUCGAUCGUGAAAACUUGUGGCUCAACUACAAGCUGGCGGUCGAUACGGGCAGGCUAGAGUCCGGAAGGGGCGAGUGGAAUUCCUGGUGUAGCGGUGAAAUGCGCAGAUAUCAGGAGGAACACCAAUGGCGAAGGCAGCUCGCUGGAACGGUACUGACGCUGAGGCGCGAAAGCGUGGGGAGCGAACAGG